GAUGAACGCUAGCUACAGGCUUAACACAUGCAAGUCGAGGGGAAACGACAUCGAAAGCUUGCUUUUGAUGGGCGUCGACCGGCGCACGGGUGAGUAACGCGUAUCCAACCUGCCCAUCACUUGGGAAUAACCUUGCGAAAGUAAGACUAAUACCCAAUGACAUCCCACGAAGACAUCUGAAUGGGAUUAAAGAUUUAUCGGUGAUGGAUGGGGAUGCGUCUGAUUAGCUUGUUGGCGGGGUAACGGCCCACCAAGGCAACGAUCAGUAGGGGUUCUGAGAGGAAGGUCCCCCACAUUGGAACUGAGACACGGUCCAAACUCCUACGGGAGGCAGCAGUGAGGAAUAGUGGUCAAUGGGCGAGAGCCUGAACCAGCCAAGUAGCGUGCAGGAUGACGGCCCUAUGGGUUGUAAACUGCUUUUAUAAGGGAAUAAAGUGGGUCUCGGGAGACUUUUUGCAUGUACCUUAUGAAUAAGGACCGGCUAAUUCCGUG
rnacentral:rRNA from 1 species